rnacentral:rRNA from 1 species
UACGAAGGGGGCUAGCGUUGCUCGGAAUCACUGGGCGUAAAGCGCACGUAGGCGGCUUGUUAAGUCAGGGGUGAAAUCCUGGAGCUCAACUCCAGAACUGCCUUUGAUACUGGCAAGCUUGGAGUCCGGGAGGGGUGAGUGGAACUGCGAGUGUAGAGGUGAAAUUCGUAGAUAUUCGCAAGAACACCAGUGGCGAAGGCGGCUCACUGGCCCGGUACUGACGCUGAGGUGCGAAAGCGUGGGGAGCAAACAGG